rnacentral:rRNA from 1 species
UACGGAGGGAGCUAGCGUUGUUCGGAAUUACUGGGCGUAAAGCGCACGUAGGCGGCUUUGUAAGUUAGAGGUGAAAGCCCGGAGCUCAACUCCAGAACUGCCUUUGAAACUACAUCGCUAGAAUCAUGGAGAGGUUAGUGGAAUUCCGAGUGUAGAGGUGAAAUUCGUAGAUAUUCGGAAGAACACCAGUGGCGAAGGCGACUAACUGGACAUGUAUUGACGCUGAGGUGCGAAAGCGUGGGGAGCAAACAGG